rnacentral:lncRNA from 1 species
AAAUAGAGGUGGGUUCGAACACGAAGAAAGACUAGUUAUAUGAAUUGGGUCUGUUAGUAUCACAAUUGACUGUAUUCUAGCUAUCUGAAAUCAAUUAUCAAACUACAAAACACCAAGACUUACUACUUCCAUCUUAAUUCAACACAUAAUCUAUUCUACAAAUAUCAAUUCAACAAUACUUAUAUAUUUUUAUCAGUUCAUCUUCCACUUACUCUCUUUGCGGUUUAUAUAUAUUCAAUUAUUGAUCUCCAACUUACUUAUUAUAUUCAAAUUUUCAAUUCAUCACACAAAAUUCAAUAUCUUCACUUAACACAAUACAAUUCAAUAAUGUCAAUUC